UGGGGAAUAUUGCGCAAUGGGCGAAAGCCUGACGCAGCGACGCCGCGUGAGGGAUGACGGCCUUCGGGUUGUAAACCUCUUUCAGUAGGGACGAAGCGAAAGUGACGGUACCUACAGAAGAAGCACCGGCCAACUACGUGCCAGCAGCCGCGGUAAUACGUAGGGUGCAAGCGUUGUCCGGAAUUAUUGGGCGUAAAGAGCUCGUAGGCGGUCUGUCACGUCGGCUGUGAAAACCCGAGGCUCAACCUCGGGCCUGCAGUCGAUACGGGCAAACUAGAGUACUGCAGGGGAGACUGGAAUUCCUGGUGUAGCGGUGAAAUGCGCAGAUAUCAGGAGGAACACCGGUGGCGAAGGCGGGUCUCUGGGCAGUAACUGACGCUGAGGAGCGAAAGCGUGGGGAGCGAACAGG
rnacentral:rRNA from 1 species